rnacentral:rRNA from 1 species
AACGACUCUCGGCAACGGAUAUCUCGGCUCACGCAUCGAUGAAGAACGUAGCAAAAUGCGAUACUUGGUGUGAAUUGCAGAAUCCCGUGAACCAUCGAGUUUUUGAACGCAAGUUGCGCCUGAGGCCAUUUGGCUGAAGGCACGUCUGCCUGGGCGUCACGC